UACGUAGGGUGCGAGCGUUGUCCGGAAUUAUUGGGCGUAAAGAGCUUGUAGGCGGUCUGUCGCGUCUGCUGUGAAAAUCCGGGGCUCAACCCCGGACUUGCAGUGGGUACGGGCAGACUAGAGUGUGGUAGGGGAGACUGGAAUUCCUGGUGUAGCGGUGAAAUGCGCAGAUAUCAGGAGGAACACCGAUGGCGAAGGCAGGUCUCUGGCCACUACUGACGCUGAGAAGCGAAAGCAUGGGGAGCGAACAGG
rnacentral:rRNA from 1 species